UAUAUAUAUAUAUGUGUGUGUGUGUGUGUGUGUGUAUAUAUACACACACACACACACACAUAUAUAAAAUUAUU
rnacentral:miRNA from 1 species